UACAGAGGGGGCAAGCGUUGUUCGGAAUUACUGGGCGUAAAGGGCGCGUAGGCGGCCUGUUAAGUCGAACGUGAAAUCCCUGGGCUCAACCCAGGAACUGCGUCCGAUACUGGCAGGCUUGAAUUCGGGAGAGGGAUGCGGAAUUCCAGGUGUAGCGGUGAAAUGCGUAGAGAUCGGGAGGAACACCAGAGGCGAAGGCGGCGGCCUGGACAGAUACUGACACUCAACUACGAAAGCGUGGGUAGCAAACAGG
rnacentral:rRNA from 1 species